AGCUCGUUAGCUCAGUUGGUUAGAGCAGUUGACUUUUAAUCAAUUGGUCGCAGGUUCGAAUCCUGCACGACCCACCA
rnacentral:tRNA from 1 species